GACAGAGGGGGCAAGCGUUGCUCGGAAUUACUGGGCGUAAAGGGCGCGUAGGCGGGAUGGCAAGUCGGUCGUGAAAUGCCUCGGCUCAACUGAGGAUCGUCGAUCGAUACUGCCGUUCUUGAGGAUUGCAGAGGAGACUGGAAUUCCCGGUGUAGCGGUGAAAUGUGUAGAGAUCGGGAGGAACACCGGUGGCGAAGGCGGGUCUCUGGGCAAUUCCUGACGCUGAGGCGCGAAAGCGUGGGGAGCGAACAGG
rnacentral:rRNA from 1 species